CAGGCCUAACACAUGCAAGUCGAACGCUGAAGCCUAGCUUUUGUUGGGUGGAUGAGUGGCGAACGGGUGAGUAACACGUGAGUAACCUGCCCCCUUCUUUGGGAUAACGCCCGGAAACGGGUGCUAAUACUGGAUAUUCACUGAUCUUCGCAAGGGGGUUGGUGGAAAGGUUUUUUCUGGUGGGGGAUGGGCUCGCGGCCUAUCAGCUUGUUGGUGGGGUGAUGGCCUACCAAGGCUUUGACGGGUAGCCGGCCUGAGAGGGUGACCGGUCACAUUGGGACUGAGAUACGGCCCAGACUCCUACGGGGGGCAGCAGUGGGGAAUAUUGCACAAUGGGCGAAAGCCUGAUGCAGCGACGCCGCGUGAGGGAUGGAGGCCUUCGGGUUGUAAACCUCUUUCGCUCAUGGUCAAGCCGCAACAUUGGUUGUGGUGAGGGUAGUGGGUAAAGAAGCGCCGGCUAACUACGUGCCAGCAGCCGCGGUAAUACGUAGGGCGCGAGCGUUGUCCGGAAUUAUUGGGCGUAAAGGGCUUGUAGGCGGUUGGUCGCGUCUGCCGUGAAAUCCUCUGGCUUAACUGGGGGCGUGCGGUGGGUACGGGCUGACUUGAGUGCGGUAGGGGAGACUGGAACUCCUGGUGUAGCGGUGGAAUGCGCAGAUAUCAGGAAGAACACCGGUGGCGAAGGCGGGUCUCUGGGCCGUUACUGACGCUGAGGAGCGAAAGCGUGGGGAGCGAACAGGAUUAGAUACCCUG
rnacentral:rRNA from 1 species